rnacentral:rRNA from 1 species
GACGAACGCUGGCGGCGUGCUUAACACAUGCAAGUCGAACGGAAAGGCCCUGCUUUUGUGGGGUGCUCGUGUGGCGAACGGGUGAGUAACACGUGAGUAACCUGCACUUGACUUUGGGAUAACUUCAGGAAACUGGGGCUAAUACAGGAUAGGAGCUCCUGCUGCGUGGUGGGGGUUGGAAAGUUUCGGCGGUUGGGGAUGGACUAGCGGCUUAUCAGCUUGUUGGUGGGGUAGUGGCUUACCAAGGCUUUGACGGGUAGCCGGCCUGAGAGGGUGACCGGCCACAAUGGGACUGAGAUACGGCCCAGACUCCUACGGGAGGCAGCAGUGGGGAAUAUUGCACAAUGGGCGGAAGCCUGAUGCAGCAACGCCGCGUUCGGGAUGACGGCCUUCGGGUUGUAAACCGCUUUCGCCUGUGACGAAGCGUGAGUGACGGUAAUGGGUAAAGAAGCACCGGCUAACUACGUG